rnacentral:rRNA from 1 species
UACGUAGGGUGCGAGCGUUAAUCGGAAUUACUGGGCGUAAAGCGUGCGCAGGCGGUUUUGUAAGCCAGAUGUGAAAUCCCCGGGCUUAACCUGGGAAUGGCAUUUGGGACUGCAAGGCUGGAGUUUGGCAGAGGAGACUGGAAUUCCCGGUGUAGCAGUGAAAUGCGUAGAUAUCUGGAGGAACACCGGUGGCGAAGGCGGCAUCCUGGACCAACACUGACGCUGAGUGAGCGAAAGCCAGGGGAGCAAACGGG